rnacentral:rRNA from 1 species
AGUGAACGCUGGCGGUAGGCCUAACACAUGCAAGUCGAACGGCAGCACAGUAAGAGCUUGCUCUUACGGGUGGCGAGUGGCGGACGGGUGAGGAAUGCAUCGGAAUCUACUUUUUCGUGGGGGUUAACGUAGGGAAACUUACGCUAAUACCGCAUACGCCCUACGGGUGAAAGCAGGGGAUCUUCGCACCUUGCGCGAUUGAAUGAGCCGAUGUCGGAUUAGCUAGUUGGCGGGGUAAAGGCCCACCCAGGCGACGAUCCGUAGCUGGUCUGAGAGGAUGAUCAGCCACACUGGAACUGAGACACGGUCCAGACUCCUACGGGAGGCAGCAGUGGGGAAUAUUGGACAAUGGGCGCAAGCCUGAUCCAGCCAGACCGCGUGGGUGAAGAAGGCCUUCGGGUUGUAAAGACCUUUUGUUGGGAAAGAAAAGCAGCAGGUUAAUACCCCGCUGUUCUGACGGUACCCAAAGAAUAAGCACCGGCUAACUUCGUG